rnacentral:tmRNA from 1 species
GGGGGCGACAUGGUUUCGACGUGGGUACUGAAGCAGUUCAGGGCAUGCCGAGGCGUGGUUACCUCGUAAAAACAGCCGCAAGCUACAUAAACGCAAACGACGACCGCUACACUCUGGCUGCUUAAUACCGGCCGGACUCUGCACCGGAUUUCCAUUGGUCCGGGCGGGUAAAACCGCAGCAGAGCCAUACACAAUGGAUCGCCCUCCGCAGGGCCACUUUGCGGAGGGCUAAAUCCAAGGUGGCUCGCCUUCGUCCAGCCCGCCUGCCGGCGGGACGGGGGUCAAAUCAAAUGGCGUGGCUACGCAUGUAGAACUGGCUGUGAACGUCUUGCGGACGCGGGUUCGAUUCCCGCCGCCUCCACCA